CUGGAAGAGUCUGGCUGACUGGCAGAUCUGGAAGAGUCUGGCUGACUGGCGGAUCCUGGCAGACUGAAAGAUCUGGCUGCUCCAUGCUGACUGGCGGCUCUGGCUGCUCCACGCUGACUGGUGGCCCUGGCUGCUCCAUGUAGGCUGACAGCUCUGGCGGCUUCUUACAGACUGGCAGCUCUGGCGGCUCCGUGCAGGCUGGCAGCUCCUUGCAGACUGACAGCUCCUUACAGACUGACAGCUCCUUGCAGACUGACAGCUCCUUGCAGACUGACAGCUCCCUGCAGACUGGCAGCUCCUUGCAGACUGGCAGCUCCUUGCAGACUGGAAGCUCCUUGCAGACUGGCAGCUCUGGCUGCUCCAUGCAGACUGACAGCUCUGGCUGCUUCAUGCAGACUGGCAGCUCUGGCUGCUCCAUGCAGACUGACAGCUCUGGCUGCUUCAUGCAGACUGACAGCUCUGGCUGCUCCAUGUAGACUGGCAGCUCUGGCUGCUCCAUGCAGACCGACAGCUCUGGCUGCUCCAUGCAGGCUGGCAGCUCUGGCUGCCCUGAACAGGCGGGAGACUCCAGCAGCGCUGUAGAGGAGGAAGGCUCUGGCUGCGCUGAACAGGCGGGAGACUCCGGCAGUGCAGGAGAGGAGAAAGGCUCUGACAGCGCUGGAGAGGCGAGGCGCACUGUAGGCCUGAUGCGUGGUGCUGGUACUGGUGGUACUGGACCGAGGACAUGCACAGGAAGCCUGGUGCGGGGAGCUGCCACCGGAGGGCUGGUGUGUGGAGGUGGUACUGGAUAGACCGGACCAUGCAGGCGCACUGGAGCUCUUGAGCACCGAGCCUGCACAACCUUACCUGGCUUGAUGCCCACUCUAGCCCGGCCGAUACGCGGAGCUGGAAUAUACCGCACCGGGCUAUGCACCCGCACUGGGGACACCGUGCGCACCACUGCAUAACACGGUGCCUGUCCGGUCUCUCUAGCCCCCCGGUAAGCACAGGGAGUUUGCGCAGGUCCCCUACCUGGCGUAGCCAUACUCCCUGUGAGCCCCCAAUACAUUUUUAGGGCUGACUCUCGGGCUUCCAUCCGCGCCGCCGUGCUUGCUUCGCCAACUCCAUUCUCCGAUAACCCUCUUCACACUGCUCCAUCGAAUCCCAGGCGGGCUCCGGCACUCUCCCUGGGUCGACCGCCCCCCUGUCUAUCUCCUCCCAAGAAGUAUAGUCCAUACUGUACUCCUCUUUGGGCUGCUCCUGCUGCCUCUUCUCCUGCUGCACCUUUGGGCGGCUACACUCCCCUGGUUUAGCCCAGGGUCCUCUACCGUCGAGGAUUUCCUCCCAUGUCCAGAAAUCCUUAUUACGCAUCUCCUCUUUGGGCUGCUCCUGCCUGUUGACACGCUGCUUGGUCCUUUUGUGGUGGGUGAUUCUGUAACGGUUUUCAUGUGGUGAAGGAGAGUCGGACCAAAAUGCAGCGUGUAGAUUGCGAUCCAUGUUUAAUGAACAAACGUAACACGAAUCUAAAUACAAACACUACAAAACAAUAAACGUAACGAAAACCGAAACAGCCUAUACUUGUGUAAACUAACACAGAGACAGGAACAAGGACACUAAGGACAAUCACCCACGAAAAACUCAAAGAAUAUGGCUGCCUAAUUAUGGUUCCCAGUCAGAGACAACGAUAAACAUCUGCCUCUGAUUGAGAACCACUUCAGACAGCCAUAGACUUAACUAGAACACCCCACUAGCUACAAUCCCAAUACAUACACACCACAUACAAAAACCCAUGCCACACCCUGGCCUGACCAAAUACAUGAAGAUAAAUACAAAAUACUUCGACCAGGGCGUGACAAUCUGGGUAGUUUAUCUUUAUAUCUAAGUAGUUUAGAUGAGGUAGUUUAUCUUUAUAUCUUGGUAGUUUAUUUUUAUAUCUAGGUAGUUUAUCUUUAUAUCUAAGUAGUUUAUAUGAGGUAGUUUAUCUUUAUAUCUAGGUAGUUUAUCUUUAUAUCUAGGUAGUUUAUCUUUAUAUCCAGGUAGUUUAUAUUUAUA
ensembl:lncRNA